rfam:Haemophilus pittmaniae HK 85 ctg1129913985445, whole genome shotgun sequence.
GGGCAUUCUCAGGGCAGGGCGUAAUUCCCUACCGGCGGUAUAGCCCGCGAGCGUUCAAAAGCAAUUUUGAAGUCAGCAGAUUUGGUGAAAUUCCAAAGCCGACAGUAACAGUCUGGAUGAAAGAGAAUAACU